rnacentral:rRNA from 1 species
UACGUAGGGUGCGAGCGUUAAUCGGAAUUACUGGGCGUAAAGCGUGCGUAGGCGGUUCGUUAUGUCUGCUGUGAAAGCCCCGGGCUUAACCUGGGAAUGGCAGUGGAAACUGGCGGGCUUGAGUGUGGCAGAGGGGGGUAGAAUUCCACGUGUAGCAGUGAAAUGCGUAGAGAUGUGGAGGAAUACCGAUGGCGAAGGCAGCCCCCUGGGAUGAUACUGACGCUCAUGCACGAAAGCGUGGGGAGCAAACAGG